AUUAUACUCCCUCCGUCCGGAAAUACUUGUCAUAAGAAUGGAUGUAUCUAGAUGUAUUUUAGUUCUAGAUACAUCCAUUUUUAUUCACUUGUGCGACAAGUAAUUCCGGAAGGAGGGAGUAUUUG
rnacentral:pre_miRNA from 1 species